UACAGGGGGGUGCAAACGUUGCUCGGAAUCAUUGGGCGUAAAGCGCACGUAGGCGGUUUGUUAUGUCGGAUGUGAAAGCCCUUGGCUCAACUGAGGAAGUGCAUCCGAAACUGGCAAGCUAGAGUACUAAAGAGGGUCGCGGAAUUCCCGGUGUAGAGGUGAAAUUCGUAGAUAUCGGGAGGAACACCGGUGGCGAAGGCGGCGACCUGGGUAGAUACUGACGCUGAGGUGCGAAAGCGUGGGGAGCAAACAGG
rnacentral:rRNA from 1 species